AUCCUUUUGUAGUUCCUAAGUGAUGAUUGGGUUUUCACCCUCAUACAUGAGAUGUGCCUCCCUCAAACCUUGUUAUGAUGUAGGCACAUUAACCAUCUGACA
ensembl:snoRNA